AACGAACGCUGGCGGCAUGCCUAACACAUGCAAGUCGAACGAGAUCUUCGGGUCUAGUGGCGCACGGGUGCGUAACGCGUGGGAAUCUGCCCUUUGGUUCGGAAUAACAGUUGGAAACGACUGCUAAUACCGGAUGAUGACGAAAGUCCUAAGAUUUAUCGCCAGAGGAUGAGCCCGCGUAGGAUUAGCUAGUUGGUGUGGUAAAGGCGCACCGAGGCGACGAUCCUUAGCUGGUCUGAGAGGAUGAUCAGCCACACUGGGACUGAGACACGGCCCAGACUCCUACGGGAGGCAGCAGUGGGGAAUAUUGGACAAUGGGCGAAAGCCUGAUCCAGCAAUGCCGCGUGAGGGAUGAAGGCCUUAGGGUUGUAAAGCUCUUUUACCCGGGAUGAUAAUGACAGUACCGGGAGAAUAAGCUCCGGCUAACUCCGUGCCAGCCGCCGCAGUAA
rnacentral:rRNA from 1 species